GCACCGAGAAGCUUUCAGCUGAGCAGCUGCGCGCCAUCCGGGUGCCGACCGCCAUCGUGUACGGCUCAGAAGACCGCGGCCUGGGCGCCGCGUCGCAGCGCGCGCUCUCGGCCAUCCCGACGUCGACGGUGGCGGUGAUCCCUGGCGGCGGGCACCCGGCGUACCUGCACGACCCGGCGCUCUGGCACCGCGUGCUGCACAACUUCGCCCAGAGCCUGGCGCAGCUGGCCGCCCAGGCGUGAGGGCGCUCGGCCGCGCUGGUCACGCGGCCGGCGGUCGCGGCGUGCGCUGUGGCGAUUGGUGGAGCUCUCGGCGUGGUCGGCAUCGCGCCUGGCGCCCGGCGCCCGGGGGUGAUGCGCAACCUGGUUUUCCCGGCGCCUGGCCCGGUCGCGGUGUUUUAUGAGGGGUAGUGAUUUUGAUGACCGGCGUGCCUCGGCGAUGGCUCUAUUUUAGUGAUGCUUGUGUGGGGCGCGUGGCUUUGUUACGAGUGUGUUUGCGUGUGACUGACCUGAUAGGUGACCUUACGAUUCCCUAAGUCACCCUGCUCACGUGUCUUUGGUUUUUAGACGCGUUUUGCAGUGAGGCUGAGUGAAUGAUCAUCAUUUCAUGUUCUCUCGCUUUGAGGGAUAAGUUCAUUCUGUUGGAUGCGCCUGAUUUUGUUGAUGGUUUGUAUCCUUUGUAAUUUGCAUGACUUGGUAUAGACGAUUAAUUUAUGAUACAAUCUUAGCUAUAAAGUGGGAACUGUGACAUUCGCCUGAUGCUGCAUGGUUUGCACAUCACUCAUUCCAGCUGGUUUAAGUGACGUCCUCAUAGCAUGUCCCACAUGGUAUACGUCUUCAGUACUAGUGUUUGUUCUGCGCUUUCUGUGAACGCGAAGAUAACGUGAUGCGAAGAAGUCCCGCACGCAGUCUGUUAUUACAUGAGCAUAGGGUGGUGAAUGUAGUGUUGAUCCGUAGUCGUUCAUAAAUACGCAUCCAAUUGGU